rnacentral:rRNA from 1 species
AUGGAAGGCCUCCUACACUGUGAUUUCUCACCCGGCCUUGCGGUCGCGGCUCAGGUGCGUCGCCGUUUUGGAUCUUCUAUUCACUUCUCACCCUCUGGAUCGACCAAGGAAUUUUUCUUGGUCGUAUACUUCUCGUCGGCAUCCUUUGCUCUUACUGAAGAAUCAGUGGCUAUUUCUCUACAAUGCUACAUCGGGGGUCUCCCUUCUGGUCUAAAUGUGCAACAUCUGGAAGGUAGAUCUUUUCGGUUUUCCGUGGCUUCAAAUCGUGUGGGACAUUUCAUCUAUGGCCUCAAGGAUCGAGUUUGGCCAGACUUUGUUUGUCAUUUUCAACUAUAUCGCCAUGGUUCCAUACGAUCAAGGCAUUUGGACAACUACUGGCAUUCGGACACUCAUAGUCCUGAGGUUGCUUCUCGCUCUCCGAUUGCGAUCAAAACAAAACUCACAUUCCUGGCAGCUGGUCACUCUAAUGAUCCUAGUGCUCAUGUGGAACGUCAAAAAUUUUGUCUUGCUCUGCCGUCGAAAAUGGUCACUACGCCGGAAUUAACAUCUACAAAUUCAUUGCCAGCAAAGGACUUUUCUGCAAUUGUGGCUAAUUCAAAUUCUCUUGGUAAGUCGCCAUCCACGGAGCAAGAUUCCUCAUUAUUAAUGACAGAUAUUACUUUUGGUAGCCUCCCAUCAAUUCAUUAUGAUAGAGUUAUGGCACAUAAUGCAAAAUUUGAAGGCUGUCGGUUUAGGAGGGAAGCUUGGCAAUCUAUCCCAAAUUUCAUUUUGUAG